GUCUAGUAUAAGCAAUUAUACCGUGAAACUGCGAAUGGCUCAUUAAAUCAGUUAUCGUUUAUUUGAUAGUACCUUACUACUUGGAUAACCGUGGUAAUUCUAGAGCUAAUACAUGCUAAAAACCCCGACUUCGGAAGGGGUGUAUUUAUUAGAUAAAAAACCAACGCCCUUCGGGGCUUCUUGGUGAUUCAUGAUAACUUUACGGAUCGCAUGGCCUUGCGCCGGCGACGGUUCAUUCAAAUUUCUGCCCUAUCAACUUUCGAUGGUAAGGUAUUGGCUUACCAUGGUUUCAACGGGUAACGGGGAAUUAGGGUUCGAUUCCGGAGAGGGAGCCUGAGAAACGGCUACCACAUCCAAGGAAGGCAGCAGGCGCGCAAAUUACCCAAUCCCGACACGGGGAGGUAGUGACAAUAAAUACUGAUACAGGGCUCUUUUGGGUCUUGUAAUUGGAAUGAGUACAAUUUAAACCUCUUAACGAGGAACAAUUGGAGGGCAAGUCUGGUGCCAGCAGCCGCGGUAAUUCCAGCUCCAAUAGCGUAUAUUAAAGUUGUUGCAGUUAAAAAGCUCGUAGUUGAAACUUGGGUCUGGCUGGCAGGUCCGCCUCACCGCGUGUACUUGUCCGGCCGGGCCUUCCUUCUGGAGAACCUCAUGCCCUUCACUGGGCGUGUUGGGGACCAGGACUUUUACUUUGAAAAAAUUAGAGUGUUCAAAGCAGGCCUUUGCUCGAAUACGUUAGCAUGGAAUAAUAGAAUAGGACGUGCGGUCCUAUUUUGUUGGUUUCUAGGACCGCCGUAAUGAUUAAUAGGGACAGUCGGGGGCAUCAGUAUUCAAUUGUCAGAGGUGAAAUUCUUGGAUUUAUUGAAGACUAACUACUGCGAAAGCAUUUGCCAAGGAUGUUUUCAUUAAUCAGUGAACGAAAGUUAGGGGAUCGAAGACGAUCAGAUACCGUCGUAGUCUUAACCGUAAACUAUGCCGACUAGGGAUCGGGCGAUGUUCUUUUUCUGACUCGCUCGGCACCUUACGAGAAAUCAAAGUUUUUGGGUUCUGGGGGAG
rnacentral:rRNA from 1 species